GAAAAUGGAACUUUCGAGCAUCUUCGCUUUGGAUUUCAUCACUGCUCUCAAGAGCUGACCAAUCUCCGUGGAAUUACGCAUAGAAAAGGCCAGGAUUUCAUUUCUGUAUUCAAUUCCAAGGUCGACGGCGAAGAACAACUGCGUGAUCACAUCUUCACUUGGUUUCCAUCAAAUUUUCAAUAAACUGAGGCUGUACGAUAAAAUGUGUGAGAUCUCAACCUAGGCUGUAAAGAACAAAACUGCAAAUUUGGGGAUUUUGGGUGUUUAUGAAGGUUUGGUGUUGUUCAUGCUUCGGGGAAGAAGACGAAGAAGAAUACAAUAAGAAGAGAGAGAUGAUGAGAGAGAGGGAGGACAUCUUGGGAAAGAACGGUAUGGACGACGUUAAGUUUGAAGGAGUUAAAAAUGCGGACCUAGGGUUUCAGGACCCUGAGGACGAUGGUGGAGAAAACAUUCAAUUGCGGUUGGGUAGUUCACGGGAGGGUUCUUCUACUGCUACUACUUUGGAUGUUAAUUUUAAUUUGGGUCCUGGAGAAGAGCCUUCAUCUUCAUCAGCUGUGGCUGAUCCCAAAAGAGAUGGUCCUGAUAGUGGCACUCAGUGUAAACGUCCCAAAGUUCGGUCCUUUGCAUUGGAAUGGGAUAUUCCUUUUGUAUCUGUGCCUGCUCAAGAAGGCAACCUUUUCGGUUUGAUUGAAGAAGAAUAUGAGAGAAUGCUAAAUAGUGUGGGUCACUACCUACCACAGGUAUUUGACGGUGAAGAAAGUGACCACACUGUUGACUCUACAAGUUGGGUGGCCAAUGGAGACGACCACUUGUCCCCAGAUAUGGAUGAUCUAGAAAAUAAAAUGGAUCUAACUGAUGACUUGUUGCAUAUGGUAUUUUCUUUUCUGGACCACAUCAAUCUUUGUAAAGCUGCUAAGGUUUGCAGGCAAUGGCGCACAGCUAGUACACAUGAAGAUUUCUGGAGGUUCUUGAACUUUGAAGAUCGAAACAUAUCUCCGCAACAAUUUGAAGAUAUGUGUAGUCGAUAUCCAAACGCCACUCAAGUGAACAUUAAAGGCUCUCCCGCAAUUCAUACACUUGUUAUGCAAGCUCUUUCUUCAUUGAGGAAUCUUGAGUUCUUAACUCUGGGCAAAGGACAGCUCGGGGAGACCUUCUUCCAAGCUUUACCUGAUUGCACGAUGUUAAAGAGCUUAAUUGUGACUGAUGCCGUUCUUGGUAAUGGUAUUCAGGAGGUACCAAUAUACCAUGAUAGGUUAAGGCACCUUCAAAUUGUGAAAUGCCGCAUGGUCCGUAUUUCGGUCAGGUGUCCCGAACUUCAGACUCUGUCCCUGAAGCGAAGUGGCAUGGCUCAUGCUGUACUGAAUUGCCCUCUUUUACAUGAUCUUGAUAUAGCAUCUUGCCAUAAGCUUCUAGAUGCUGCAGUUUGCUCUGCAGCGACUUCAUGUCCGCUCUUAGAGUCCUUAGACAUGUCAAACUGUUCAUGUGUUAGUGACGAAACUUUACGUGAAAUAGCACUAAUUUGUGGCAAUCUUCAUAUCCUGAAUGCAUCUUACUGCCCAAAUAUCUCUCUUGAGUCUGUAAGGUUGCCAAUAUUGACUGUUCUCAAGCUUCAUAGCUGUGAAGGCAUAACCUCUGCUUCUAUGGCUGCAAUAGCUUAUAGCUAUAUGUUGGAGGUUUUGGAGCUUGAUAAUUGCAGCUUAUUGACAUCAGUCUUCUUGGAUCUUCCUCACCUGCAGAAUAUCAGACUUGUACACUGUCGCAAAUUUGUGGACUUAAGUUUAAGAAGCAUGCUAUUAUCUUCCAUUAGAAUCUCUAAUUGUCCUUCACUCCAGAGAAUCAACAUAACAUCAAAUUCACUUCAACAACUAGUUCUGCAGAAACAGGAAAGCUUAACUGCGUUAGAGCUGCAAUGCAAGUGUUUACAAGAAGUGGACCUCACAGAUUGUGAAUCUCUGACAAAUUCCAUCUUUGAAGUUUUUAGUGAUGGCGGUGGAUGCCCCAUGCUUAAAUCAUUAGUUCUUGAUAAUUGUGAGGGUUUGACGGCUGUGGUAUUCUGUAGCAAUUCUUUAACCAGUCUUUCCCUUGGUGGUUGUCGUGCUAUUACUGAUCUUGAACUCACUUGCCCUUAUCUUGAGCAAGUCUCUUUGGAUGGAUGUGAUCAUCUUGUAAAAGCAACCUUUUGUCCAGUUGGCCUUCGAUCUCUUAAUCUCGGAAUCUGUCCUAAACUUAAUGCACUCAAUAUUGAAGCGCCAACCAUGGUGUUGCUUGAGCUGAAGGGGUGCGGUGUAUUAUCUCAGGCAGUAAUUAAUUGCCCCCUAUUAAAAUCUCUGGACGCUUCAUUUUGCAGCCAACUGAAGGAUGACUGCUUAUCAACAACUACCUCUUCAUGCCCUCUUAUUGAGUCAUUGAUAUUGAUGUCAUGCCCGUCUAUUGGUUCUGAUGGGCUCUUUUCUUUGCGUUGCCUUCCGCAUUUAACUUCACUUGAUCUUUCCUACACCUUCUUGCUGGACUUGCAGCCUGUGUUCGAUUCCUGUCUGCAGUUGAAGGUAAUGGCUAUUUCUAGGUCCUUCAAAAAUAUUGCUAUUAUUAUAUAUGGCUCUUCCUGUUUCUAAGGCAAGCCUUGAAGUCUCAACAUUCUCCAAAAUGCAAGGGGAAGGCUGCUUUUACAGGCAUCCCUCCCUAUCCAUAGCCAAAUUGAGCUUUGUUUCGUCGGGAUCACCCUUCUAUGCACUUUUAUCUUGUAAUUUGGGCUAAUUCUACUAUAUUAAAGGGUACAAAAGUUCCUGGGAUUGUAAUUUUUUCCCUUCAGUGGCAAGUUGCACCAAGUAAUAACAUAUUUAUAUUUCAUUUUAGGGACCCAAUCCAUAAUUCCAUGUAAUUAUAAGGACCAAACAUGCAAGGCACUCUUUAGAUACUAAGAUUUUUAUAAUAUAAUAAACAAUAAUAUGAUCUAUGAAAAUGUGCAUAUAUGACCAAAUGAAUCCAAUGAAUCCUACACGGAGUAGUGUCUGUGGAGGGUGGGAUUAUGCAGACUGUACCUUUACUCUGAGGAGUAGAGAUGCUGUUUCCGAGAAGACCCCCAGCUUGUAAAAUGGUUUUGAGAAAGGAUUUUUCAAGGAAAUGUUACCGGAAGUUUGACAAAAUUUUGAUAGAAAGGAAAGGUAUUUGAAAUAUAAAAGAAAGAGAUGAAGUUCAGAAUAUAUAUGUAGCCACAAGCACAUACAUAUAUACUAGAAAAGUAACCUGUGUAGCGAAACUGCGUUGGAGAGGCUGGCGGUUCCAGCUCCAACGAUGACUAUUUCUUCCUUCUGGACAUUGCAUCCAUCACAAAUGGUUGUUAGAGAUGUGGGCUUUGUUCUUUUCAGGAUUAUAUUCGAAUUGGUUGGGUUAGCUCCGUACUACUGUUUCUUGAUGAAGAGAUGGAGAGUGAAGGGAUAAGAAAGAUGAAGAGAAUGUUGCCAUAAAUGUGUGCUGGUUGAGGUGUUUCAGAGAAGAAAACGUCAUCAUUGUGUGUAUUCCUUGACCACUGAAAUUGUGGCGAGAAGUUAACCAGGUUUUGAAAUUGCAAGCAUGCAAGUAUCUUACCAACUCAUCGCUGGAAGCUCUAUACAAAGAUGGUGCUCUCCCCAC